GACUCACGACGGGCCGCCACUCUCCAAUUAAAGGAACUGCUAAGAGAAAGACUCAUACAGACAUUUCCAUGGCGAAUCACUGAUGGGCUGCCACACUACAAUUAAAGGAGGAACUGCUAAAAACAAAGAUCACGUGCAGCCUAUUCACGCGUCCACGUUCACAGCCACACGACCGCCCUCGCCUGGUGAGAACCACACUAGCUCUAGCAUCAAGCUUAGCGCCCCCUGG